GGCUGGUCUCCACGUGUCUAUCCAGGGGAGGGUCGAUCCAAUAACCUCCAGAUUUAGGGGGCAGGAUGAGAGGAUUCUUUGAUUCAUAGAAAGUUCAAAAGAACGGCAUUUAUGGUAAAAAACCCUACCCUCAGAGGUGGUGGAAACUCACAACGUUGUUCAUCCAAUCUGCUACCCUGCAAAAAAACACGACCACAGAGAAAUCAUCAUCAUUGUGACAGGAAAAGACAACCAUACUGUAUUUACACUGUGUUGUUUACUCUGGCAAAGAAGGUGGAGAGAACGAGAGAAAGAUAACGAUGUUACCUGUAGCUUUUCAAUGAUUGCAAACAACUCAGUAACCUGCCGAGAAAUGACGAGGGAAUGACAGAAACAGUGAAUGUUUCAGAUAAUGCACCCUACAAGGAGAUUUCUUACCUUCUGACUGGACGGUGCAGAAGUGAGUGGCUUAGCCUCACUGGAGGGGGAAUCCAAAAUAUCCAGUAUGCUGUGACCCAUGGAUUCUGCACAGCUGUAACACACAGAGACAAGCGUUCUGGAAAAGUCUGCAUGCGG